CAGUAGCCGCGGGAAUACGUAGGGUGCAAGCGUUAAUCGGAAUUACUGGGCGUAAAGCGUGCGCAGGCGGUUAUAUAAGACAGAUGUGAAAUCCCCGGGCUCAACCUGGGAACUGCAUUUGUGACUGUAGAGCUGGAGUGCGGCAGAGGGGGAUGGAAUUCCGCGUGUAGCAGUGAAAUGCGUAGAUAUGCGGAGGAACACCGAUGGCGAAGGCAAUCCCCUGGGCCUGCACUGACGCUCAUGCACGAAAGCGUGGGGAGCAAACAGGAUUAGAUACCCCCGUAGUCCCUGUCCUUAUACA
rnacentral:rRNA from 1 species